GAUGAACGCUGGCGGCGUGCCUAAUACAUGCAAGUCGAGCGAACGGACGAGAAGCUUGCUUCUCUGAUGUUAGCGGCGGACGGGUGAGUAACACGUGGAUAACCUACCUAUAAGACUGGGAUAACUUCGGGAAACCGGAGCUAAUACCGGAUAAUAUUUUGAACCGCAUGGUUCAAAAGUGAAAGACGGUCUUGCUGUCACUUAUAGCUGGUUCCCGGCUGCAUUAGCUAGUUGGGAAGGUAAAGGCUUUCCAAGGCAACGAUGCCUAGCCGACCGGAGAGGGUGAUCGGCCACACUGGAACUGGGACACGGUCCAGACUCCUACGGUAGGCAGCAGUAGGGAAUCUUCCGCAAUGGGCGAAAGCCUGACGGAGCAACGCCGCGUGAGUGGUGAAGGUCUUCGGAUCGGAAAACUCUGUUAUUAGGGAAGAACAUAUGUGUAAGUAACUGUGCACAUCUUGACGGUACCUAAUAAGAAAGCCACGGCUAACUACGUG
rnacentral:rRNA from 1 species